CCUGGCAGAAGACAUUGUGGAGGUACAAUCAAUUAAAUCUUCACCUCUUUUUUACCGUUGUUUAUCAUUUGGGCAUUUCACUCAACACGCCUUUACUUUUCCAAUCUGUUCAACAGAAUUGACAGGUCCGACCUUUAUUUUGCCACCUCCACCACAGCACCCAGCAACAUUUUUCAACUCCAUCGAUGCCGAGUUGACCACCGUUACUGCUCUGCCAGUAGCACCACCGCUCUUCCGCUCCAGCCAUGCCGAGUUAACAAGUCAGACCACCACUCCUCCGUCAACUUCGCCCACAUCUCUACCAGUACCACCCCAGCAAGGUAGAACUGCAUUUUCAUUAAUCUGGCGCCAAUAUUAAGGGAGAAACAAGCCAUGAAGGCCUCAUUAUGUGGGAAGGACAUUCAUCCCUGAUUAAGUCAGGCAAUUUCAGUCUCAACUUCUUUACAUUACAUACACUUUU